AGCGCGUCCCGGCCGGGCCCGGCGCCCGGCCAGCGUCCCCGCUUCAGCUCGCCGCCGCGCUUCGGCCGCCGGGCCCGAGCGGGCGGGAAGGGAUCUCUCUAGGAGCUGACACUCGAACCUUCACGACCCAUUCGGAUUUUUCCAGGACUCAGGCGUGGCACUGGGAAGAAGGGGACCGCUUUCUGCAAUUGGCCUCGACACUGGCUGCCAAGAAGACCUGUCGCCUUUGUUUUUAAGUCUCCAGAAAUGGAAGAAGAAGGCGAAGUCAGUUGAAGUCACGAGAAAUCAGCGAGGCAUUUGAAGGCGCUUCCUGAAAACCUUUAUUCCCUGGCACGUUGUCUGUUUCACCAGCCCUGCCCCUCCUCGGAGCCUGCUUGUGGAAUUCUUCCCCUUCGGGUGUGUGGUGGCAUUCCCCCCCACCUCCAAUGUGGACUCCAAAGGAUUUGUCCCUUCUUUGUCAUUUGAAAUGAAAUGAUGGCCACGCGUCGGACUGGUCUGCCUGAGGGAGAUGGUGACAAGCUCAAGGCCUGCGAGGUUAAGCGUUUUAUGAAGUUCAUUGUGCCUUGAUGUUCUUCAUUUCUUUAUUACUACCAGGUCAAGUAAUCUAGCACAAAAGUCUCAAAAAAUAAAGAUGGAAAAGAACAAAGUGAAACUGUAUCACUGUCCGAAGAUGA
rnacentral:sRNA from 1 species